CCUUGACAUACAAGUCCUCCUUGUCAGCCACAUAGCAAGCUGUCUUUGCAUCAAAGGGCUUGGUUUGGGCCUCAAUUCUCUCCUUCUCAGGCUUACGGAGAUUAAUUUUCAAAGUUGUUAAAGCCCCUGAAGAACAAAAUGCUGACUUACUGUGCAGUGGAACCCCCUGGUCUCUGCUGCUGAACUCUGCUCCCUCCAAGCCCUUUUAUUGGCCAUCAUCUGCAAACUGAGCAGGACCUCCC